rnacentral:rRNA from 1 species
AGCUCCAAUAGCGUAUAUUAAAGUUGUUGCAGUUAAAAAGCUCGUAGUUGGAUUUCUGGUUGGAGAGUCCGGUCCGGCCCGCAAGGGCUGAGUACUAGUUUGACGUUUCUGGCCAUCCUUGGGAGGAGUAUGCUUGGCAUUAGUUUGUCGGGUAUAGGAUUCCCAUCGUUUACUGUGAAAAAAUUAGAGUGUUUAAAGCAGGCUUAUGCCGCUGAAUACAUUAGCAUGGAAUAAUAAGAUAGGACUUUGGUACUAUUUUGUUGGUUUGCAUACCAAGGUAAUGAUUAAUAGGGAUAGUUGGGGGUAUUCAUAUUUAAUUGUCAGAGGUGAAAUUCUUGGAUUUAUGAAAGAUGAACUUAUGCGAAAGCAUUUACCAAGGAUGUUUUCAUUA